UACAAUCAGUUUCUACUAUAUUAUGCUU
rnacentral:sRNA from 1 species